rnacentral:lncRNA from 1 species
AAAUAAAAUAAAAGUGGAAUGAAGCCUGAAUGAUCCGAAGUAUGUACGUAUCUAUAUUAACAUGCAUAUUGUAUCAAUGUCUCGUUAGGAUUCUUAUCUAUGAGGGUAUAUGUUUUUCCCUCCCCCAUCUAGUAUGGAAAGAUGUGAGAAGACCACUGUUUGUGGAUGACAGCGUACCCUCUGAUGAGAGCGGUGACGCAGAUAUCUAUUAGGAGUCACCUUUGGCUAAGUACUGUCGUGACUAUAGAAUAUCUGAUAGGACCACUAUGGUUGGUACGACCGUGGUCAUAGAUCGUACAUUGGUUUGGUAAGCCAGAAUUGUGCUUGAGCAAAUUAUUGUUAUCUGUAUCGAAUCUGGUCAUUCCACUUGGGUAGUCAGCAAUUCAUAUCUACCCUCAGAUAUGGAAGUCAGAACGACUUCGCGAAGCAUAACACAAAAAUCUGAGUAUUUAUGAUUUAUUUGAUUUUCUCUAUCGUCAAACAUGAUGUUUGUUUUUUAUUGUUGUGACUAUGACAUGAUGU